rnacentral:lncRNA from 13 species
ACUUGGGAAUUUAAAUGAACUGUACCCUGCUUGUGUAACGGAUGUGAAACGCUAGACAAGUUAGCGGUGGUGCGCACUAAAUAGCGUUUCAAUCGGUGACGUCACUUGCUCUGAGACCUUGAAGUAGUAGUUCCCCUUGCUCUGCAAGGGCCACGGCUUUUGUGGAGUGAUGCUUUUGUGGAGCGAUGCUUCGAGGGUGACUGUUGUUGAUGUGUGCAGAGGGUCUCUGGUUCGCGCCCGGGUAUGGGCGAGGGGACGGUCUAAAGUUAUACUGUUACAUUGAUGCUGUUGACCCGGAUCACUGGUUGCUGCGGAAAAGGAGGAGGUCAAAAGGGGGGUGAGUGUCAUCCUUGUCUUCAGUCCUCAAAGCCUAGUGUUGUUUUCCUCUGCUGUUGCUAGUAUAUCCUUUAAGUUGAAGUACUCAACUCUCACCCCAUCUUUAUGUCCCCCAUCAUUCUCAAAUCCCCUCCACCAGCCCCCCAGAGCAGAGNNNNNNNNNNNNNNNNNNNNNNNNNNNNNNNNNNNNNNNNNNNNNNNNNNNNNNNNNNNNNNNNNNNNNNNNNNNNNNNNNNNNNNNNNNNNNNNNNNNNAAGAAUUUCUCAUACCUUUCUCGGGCAUGUGGAAAAACAUGAGUGUUUAUUAGUGUCAUUACGGCGUAAGGUGAAGACAGAUGGAUGAAAGAGAGAAGAUUGAAAGAGAGGAAGAGGGAAGAGAACAUGUUUCUCAGACUGAGAUAUGAACUUCAGCCACGUUGUGUGUGAUGGCAACAAGAGAAGUGGGCAGAGGACAGAGAACAUAUUCUAUUUAUGUUAUAUUCUAUAUCUUCCCACAAGACGAACCUUCAAAAAUCAAUCAUUUUGAUAACGUCAAAAUAUUGCCAGAAUCGGGAAUGAUGUUUCUGGAAGAUGCAAAUAAGAACUUCGGUAUUAGGAGUGGGUGUGGCUUCGAUUUGAUGAUUGACAAGUGUCAAAUAACGUGACUACGCCAACUGGGAGAAGAAGAGAGGUAGAUGAUUGGAUACUGUAGGACUAUGGGAGUUGCAGUCUUUAUAUAAAGGACUUCUGACUACAAGACUACUCCCAUGAUUUUGGAUGACACGCGGUUUGGAAUCCUCCCAAGAUGCUUCUGGAUUUUUCCAUCGGAUUCCGAGGACAGUGACUGGGAUUAUGUUUUGUAUAUUACAAGAUUCCAAGAUGUACUCUCCUUCUGGAACGGAAGGAAGUCACCUACAUGAUGUAUAUCCUCUUAUUUUUGUAACCCUGGUUUUCUAUUGCUGACUGACUUCUUGAUUAGUUUCUGGUAUGUUAUUCACAUAAAGGAAGUUACAAGUUACUAAUAAAUAUUUAUAAUGUCAAUUUGUUAUAAUGUCUUUAGUUAUAAUGUCUUGAGAGAGAGAGAGAGAGAGAGAGAGAGAGAGAGAGAGAGAGAGAGAGAGAGAGAGAGAGAGAGAGAGAGACCUCUUAUGACCCAUACUCAGACACUUUGAACAUGAAACCCCUGUGAACUAGUAACUGAGUAUAUCUCUGCUCUCACUCAUACAUACCUUCAAUACAGAGAGGAAGGAAGUAGAUAUCAAGACCAACACACUGCUAAUGCCAAAGCAACUCUCAGGUUAUAGAGCAGGGCCUGUAUUCUAAAGCGUCUCAGAGGAAAAGUGCUGAUCUAGGAUCAGGUUCCACCUGUCCAUUGUAAUCUUAUUCAUUAUGAUCUAACAGGCUACACUGAUCCUAGAUCAGCAAUCUUUUCUGAGAAACUUUGUCAACACAGGCCCAGGUAACGGUUUUACUAAGAACACUUCAUAAAUGAAUAAGAUAGUCUUAUUAUUGUACUCUCUCAGUAAGGGAUGAGAUACUGUGUUUAGGAAAAUAGUAAAAAGUCAAUGCUGUUAUUAUUCUGUAACUUUUCAAAGAAUCCCAGAUGCUGACUUAGUUUCAACAUAUAAAUCACUUCAAAGUUCUCACAGAAAGGAAAUAACUUUGAUAAUACAGUGUAUACACUCAUGUAUGACAUGCAGUUUUUACAUCUUAAUCAGUGACACCUUAGUUGAAGUGGUAAUAUGGCAUCUCUUUAGUUCCCACAAUCCACCAGUGUUAUAAGACGCCAUGGACGGACAGACCCGGCUCCAUUGGUUUAGCAAGACUUUUACUUAGUGAAUAAACCAGUGAAAUAGAGGAGGGAUUGUGUGCCUUUGUGGUUUCUCAAAAUGAUAUUCACCCUCUCUGCCAAACCAUAAACUGCUCCCCCAUAAUCCUUUUCCAAACCCAAACUACAGCCCAAAAUGCAACCCUCGGAGCCAGAAGCCUUUCUCUCGCUCUGUCUCUGUGUCAUUAUGACGUUACAGUCUAUGGUGGCGGUAACACGGUAC